UUACUAUUUGCGCAAAUUUCCUCGCAUCUACCAAGUAUCACACUGACGGUACGCUCAAUAUCGAUCUCAUCAUCAUCAUAGUCAUCAGAAUCACUGAGAUUCGAACUUCUGAUUCUGCGGUCCACCUCCAAGCUUGAGGGACAGUUGAGGAAUCUAUCCAGCGGGAGGUCCAUGAUACGUUUGUCUGUUUGGCGCUUGUUUUAAGGGACAAAAGAUUGGUUAGCUCUUUCCAACUUCCUCCGGAGA